CUACAACUAUCUCAAAGGAGGAUGGAGCCAGGAGGUGGCUGGUCUCUGCUCCCAAGUAACAAGUGACAGGACAAGAGGAAACAGCCUCAAGCUGCACCAGGGGAGGUUUAGACUGGAGAUUAGGAACAGUUUCUUCCCGGAGAGGGUGUUCAGGCAUUGGAACAGGCUGCCCAGGGCAGUGGUGGAGUCACCGUCCCUGGAAGUGUUCACAAACUGUACGAGGUCCUCAGCGCCAUGGUUUAGUGGUGGCCUUGGCAGUGCUGGGGAACGGUUGGACUUGGUGAUCUCAAAGGUCUUUUCCAACCUGGUUGAAUCU